AAAUGGCAGCGGUUUGACUCCAAAGAAGCCAUUUCUUGUCCACAGGGCCCUCUGAUGAUGGCUGGAGAUCUGGUCCCAGGGCAGCUCUCUGCAUGAUGCUUUACUACACCGGCCCUGUCCAUGGUGCUGCUCCACAUUCUCCAGGACCGGGGACCCUCUGCAUCCAGCACCUAGCUGGGGAAAUGAGCUACAAGCCACACAAGGGCAGAGAUUGUGGCUAUUGUGUUCAUCUGGUCACCAGCACAGUCUUGGAACAGAGUAUUAGCUCCAUGGAACACAUACGAAUGAGCGGAUAAAUGAGUGAGUAUUCAGACUCCUCUCACUGUUCAUUUGCUAUCAAAUCUCUCUUAUGCUUUCAGACUUAUCUCUAAUAUCAGCUCUGCAUAAAGUCUGCUCCAUUCCCUUAAAAUAAACUCUUACAUGAAGCUCCUAUGUUGUUUGUUUAAGGCUUUGAUGUUGAGAAGCAUUAUAUGAAGUAGUUGAGAGAACAGGCUUUAGAG
rnacentral:lncRNA from 1 species